UCUCACUUCUAUCUUCGAGAAAAGUGUACGCGCUCUAUUCAAAGUGUCUUAGUCCUUGAACGCCAAAAAUAUAAAAGAAAUAUACUUAUAUUUGAUAGACAUAAGAAUAAUGUGUUUAUUCAAGUGCUCCUUACGCUCUACUAUGAAAAUCGUGCGAUGUACUUUAAGUGUUAAAUAUAAAUCAUCUUACACAAAUAUGUUACCACCGACAUACGUCGAAGGUUUUCAUGAUUUGGAAGCCGUUAAGGCUAUGGAAUAUAGACCUUUCGGCAAAACCGGAUUGAUGGUCAGCAAAUUAUCAUUUGGUGGCGGACCGCUUGGUUGUCAUUAUGGUACGUAUGAUGAAGGUCAAGCAAUUGAAGCGAUACGUCAAGGAAUAAAACAGGGGAUCAAUUACAUUGAUACCGCACCAUGGUAUGGUCAAGGUCGCUCCGAAACUACUAUUGGAAAAGCACUGAAAGGCAUUCCACGUAAAGCAUAUUAUAUCGCGACAAAAGUUGGACGAUAUGAAUUAAAUUACGAAAAUAUGUUCAAUUUUUCCAAAGAAAAAACUAGAAGUAGUUUCCUUAAAAGCUUGCAACUUUUGGGUUUGGAUUAUGUUGAUGUCAUCCAAGUUCAUGAUAUCGAAUUUGCACCAAGUUUAGACAUAGUAAUUACACAAACCUUACCAGAACUGUCAAGACAAGUUGCAGAGGGCAAGGCAAAGCACAUUGGUAUCACUGGAUAUCCGAUAUCUAUUUUGAAGGAAUGUAUUGAGAAAAGUAAUAUUAAAAUUUCUUGCGUACUGAGCUAUUCAAGGCAUACGCUAAUAGAUAAUACUUUGUCUGAAUAUAUUCCAUUUUUCAAGGAACAUAAUAUUGGUAUAAUUAAUGCUUCUGCACCAUGUAUGGGACUUCUAACUAAUAAGGGUGCACCAACUUGGCAUCCCAGUUCAGAACAAACGAAAGAAGUAUGUGCAGAUGCUGCUGCAUAUUGUAAGGAUCAUGAUAUAGAAUUAGCCAAGUUAGCAUUAUGGUAUUCUAUGCAAUGCAAAGAUAUUGCUACAUAUUUAGUUGGAAUGCAAAAUUUAAAAGAACUGCAGAUAAACCUUGAUGUUGUUAAAAAUGGAAUUACAGAUAAGGAAAAAAAUGUACUUCAAGAAAUUCAGGAAAAUCCCCGUUCUCAAAGAUUUUUAAAGUAUCUGAUCUGACAUGGGAUUACAUUCUAUCUACUAUAUAUCUGUGAUAAAUAAGUACCUAUUAUACUUAAGUUGAUAUGAAUUUGGUAUCUAUGUAAAAUAACAGAGAAACACUGGGAAAACAAAGAACUUAAAGCAUACUGGGAAUAUAU